rnacentral:pre_miRNA from 13 species
UAAUCUGUCCAGGGAAAAUCUUCAUCUAGUUAUGACAAACCCACAUUUGACUACUCAGAAUCACCCGUUAUUGCAAGCUCGACUACAUCAUUGACACUAAAAAACAAAGAACAACUACUAUGUGAACAAUAACUUUUUAAGAUUUAAAU